rnacentral:lncRNA from 1 species
AGCCGAUUGUGUUAGAAAAUAUUCCUAAAGUCAAUCUUUAUAAUUUAUAUAUAUAUUAUAAAAUAAUAAAAGUUAUUUGAUAUAUUCAUUACAAAGUUACAUCUUUCUUAAUUAAACUCUAAUAUUAUGAUGAAGUCCUUAGAACUAUAUGAUAUUGAUAAAGGAGAAUUUAUAGAAUAGUUUCUGUACUACCGGCUUAGUAUUUGAACCUAUGAAGUCACGCAC